ensembl:snRNA U1 U1 spliceosomal RNA
AGACUUCCCUGGCAGGGAGACACCAGGAUCAGGAAGGUGGUUUUCCCAGGGCGAGGCUCACCCAUUGCUCUGCGGGUGUGCUGACCCCUGCGAUUUCCCCAAUGCGGAAACUCCACUGCAUGAUUUGUGGGAGUGGGGGACUGCGUUCAUGCUCUCCCCUA